GAUGAACGCUGGCGGCGUGCCUAACACAUGCAAGUCGAGCGAGAGAGUUCUUCGGAACAAUCUAGCGGCGGACGGGUGAGUAACACGUGGGCAACCUGCCUCAUAGAGGGGAAUAGCCUUCCGAAAGGAAGAUUAAUACCGCAUAACAUCGUUGAAGGGCAUCCUUCGAUGAUCAAAGGAGCAAUCCGCUAUGAGAUGGGCCCGCGGCGCAUUAGCUAGUUGGUGAGGUAACGGCUCACCAAGGCGACGAUGCGUAGCCGACCUGAGAGGGUGAUCGGCCACAUUGGGACUGAGACACGGCCCAGACUCCUACGGGAGGCAGCAGUGGGGAAUAUUGCACAAUGGGGGAAACCCUGAUGCAGCAACGCCGCGUGAGUGAUGACGGCCUUCGGGUUGUAAAGCUCUGUCUUUGGGGACGAUAAUGACGGUACCCAAGGAGGAAGUCACGGCUAACUACGUGCCAGCCGCCGCAGUAA
rnacentral:rRNA from 1 species